ACGUAGGGGGCGAGCGUUGUCCGGAUUUACUGGGUGUAAAGGGCGAGUAGGCGGGUCGUCAAGUCAGAUGUGAAAUCCCAAGGCUCAACCUUGGAACUGCAUUGGAAACUGACAGUCUUGAGUGCUGGAGAGGAGAGCGGAAUUCCUAGGGUAGGGGUGAAAUGCGGUAAUACUUGGGGGAACACCAGUGGCGAAGGCGGCUCACUAGGACGGAUCUGACAGUGAGGAACGAAAGCUGGGGGAGCAAACAG
rnacentral:rRNA from 1 species